CAGGAGCGGGAGGAAGAGUGGGGGCACCACCCUACCUUGGAGAAGGUGGGGCCAUGCUGAGGACAUCUGGCUGUAGGUGGCUUGCCUUGGACACCUGCUUCCUCUCUGUCUUCACCUUUUUUCCAGCUGGAGAUGAUCUGUCUUGUUCUUUUUUUUCCUGAUGUUUUUCAAUCCGUGAUAUUAAGUAGGGUAGGAAUGCAUCCCAUAAUAGACCACAUUAGCAGGUCCAGGGGAGAAGCACCAAAAAGGAAAGAGUCCUUGGAAUCCUUUUCUUUUUGCAGCAGCAGCAGCAGCAUAGGUUGUGGUUUGGGCAACUGGAACCCACCAAGGCACACAUGAAAAGCUAGAUGAAGGCUUGGAUGUUCUGCUGAAACUGAUGAUCCUUACCUGGCAUGAGAGGCGCCCUAACAGGCUAAAGCGUAUCAAAUAGGACCGAAAGAUGCUGCAUCACCAAGCACUUCUUUCGUUCCACCGUUUCCCCAAUUGCAGUGACGCCGUUGUGCCUCCAGUGGCCAGCAGAACUCCAGCGGAAGGUCUGCAGCCUAAAGGGAUGGAAUGCGCCUGGACCCAUCCUCACCUCACAUGGGCAGAGCCGACCUACCUUGCAGAGGUGCUGAGAUUUCCAGAGGGCUGGCCUCACUUUGAACACCAGCAACAUCUGCAAGACAAGAGCCCCCGAACUGCCAUGCCAGGACUUGAGGUCCCCUAA
rnacentral:lncRNA from 1 species